rnacentral:lncRNA from 1 species
GGGCCCGGCUGUCCCGCUUGGGCGUCCUCAGUGGAACCGCACACCCUUUCUCAGCGCGCCGGUCGUUUGGUCCUGUAGGGCCGAGGGGAAUUCGUGCGGUGUUGAGCACGCGGGAAGCACUUAACGAAAGGGAGCUGCCCCUCAGCCCUCGUGAGUCCGAUGUAAAGGAGUGAAGGAGACGAAGAACUGAAUCAGUAGUUGACCGCCUGUGAGCUGGCGAGCUGUGCCCUGGUAGGGCCUUAAAUCCCAGCCCCAGAAGUCGGAGGCAGGGCAGGCACCCCAAAGCGUGGAAGAGAUGCACCUGCGGAGUGAAAAUGCUGCUAUUGCUUCUAGGGUCAGCCUUGGUUCCUGGAACAAAGGAGCCGCAUGACUCGGGUCUGGCGAUGAUGUUGGGCUCUGCAGUGUCCUCAUCCUUCCCCCUCUCUGGGUAAUGAUAUCUUCCCAGGGUUUAAAGUGUGUCCUCUCUGCCAGUAGCUUGUCUCCACAGCCUCAUCUUUAAUUCCACCUGCCCCACCCAUUUUGGACACUGCAGCCAAGUUGCAGCAGAUCCGCAAACCUGGUAAUCCCUCACUUGAAAGUGCUGGAGGCUUUAGGAUGGGGUUCAGGGCCUGUGCAAUCUAACCGCCUGCUUUUUUUUUUUUUUUUUUUUUUUUUUUUUUGAGACGGAGUCGAAUCUCACUGUCUCCCAGGCUGGAGUGCAGUGGCGCCAUCACAGCUCAUUGCAGCCUCAACCUCCUGAGCUCAAGCCAUCCUCCCACCUCAGCCUCCCAAGUACCUGGGGUUACAGGCAAGCACCAUUACGCCUAGCUAAUUUUUCUGGGUUUUUUUUUUUUGUUUUUUUUUUUGUAUAGAUGGAUUUCGCCAUGUUGUCCAGGCUGGUCUUAAACUCUCGCUCUGUCUCCCAGGCUAGAGUGCAGUGGGGCAAUCUCGGCUCCCUGCAACCUCUGCCUCCUGGGUUCAAGCAAUUAUCCUGCCUCAGCCUACCAGUUAGCUGGGAUUACAUGUGUGCGCCACCGCGCCCGGCUAAUUUUUUUAUUUUUAGUAGAGGCGGGGUUUCACCAUGUUGACCAGGCUGGUCUCAAGACUACUGACCUCAAGUGAUCCCCCCCCCCCCCCGCCUCGGCCUCCCAAAGUGCUGGGAUUACAGACGUGAGCCACCGUGCCCAGCGGUUUUGCAUUUUCAAUUGUGGGGCACGGUGAGAAAAGACUUGAAGAAAGCAAGGGAGUGAGAUCCAUGGAAAUGUAGGGGGGAACCUUGCAGGCCUAUGGAACAGCCAGUGCAAAGGGCCUGGGGUGGGAGCUGCCUCAGGGUAGCCAGGAUGGCAGGAGGCACAGCUGCCGAGAGGAAGCAGGGGCCAGGUCCUGCAAGGUUAGAGGCCAUUGCUACUCCUGAACACAUUGGCAGGUUUUGAGCAGAGAAGUGACAUGAUUUUAGUUUUCUCAGGAUCCCUCUGGCUGCUGUGUGGAGGAAGAGGGGAGGGUGAGAGCAGGGAUACCUCUUAGGAGGCUGUGGUAGUAAUCCCAGGGAGCCAGGAUGGGAGCAGAGGAGGGGACAGGAAUUGGAUUCUGGAUGCAUUUUGGAGGGAGCAUGAAGGAAAGCGGGGUCAAAGGUUCCUCUGAGGCCUUGGCUGCCUCUCUUAUUCAUCUACAUCCAUUCUGUCAAGGACACCUUUCAUUUCUUCUUGGCACUGUCUCAAGGCCACCACGCUGCUGCCCACCUGACCAGCAGUGGCCUUUCCAGGCCUUCCAUCUUCUCCCCAGCAGCUUAUCUCUGCGUAGCCAGGUCCCAUUUCCCACACACCUUUUUUUAAAGUGUGUUGCACUGCUCUGGGUGCAGGACUGUAGCAGUGACCAGGGCAGCUCCAGAUGAAGCUUCUGCUCACAGGAACCUUUUCUACUGAAACAGAUGAUACCUAAACUCUCAGCUGUGUGACUUUAAGCAACUUGCACAACCUCUCUGUACUUCAGUUGCCUCCAUCUUCAAAUGGGGAUUAAAAAGUGUUGACAUCAUAGUGGUUGUGAGGAUUACAUGAUUUGAUAGUUUAUAAAGCACUUAGAACUUGUGAAGAAGAGUGCCUGGGGAUUGCCUAAGGUCAGGAGUUCAAGACCAGCCUGGCCAACAUGGAGAAACCUCAUCUCUGCUAAAAAUACAAAAACUAACCACGCAUGGUAGUGCACACCUCUAGUCCCAGCUACUUGGGGGGCUGAGGCAGGAGAAUCACUUGAACCUGGGAGGUGGAGAUUGCAGUGAGCCAAGAUUGCGCCACUGCACUCCAGCCUGGGCAACAGAGCAAGACUCGGUCUCCAAAGAAAAAAAAAGAACUGCCUGGCUACGGAAUAAGAACUACAUGGAGUUAUUAAAUCAAAAUCGGUGCACAAAUGAUAAUUCUUAAGAGUGAGUGCUACAGAGAACACAAAAGGCAAGGCACAGAGAGAUGACCUGGGAGGCAGGGAAGGAAAGCAUUCCCAGAGGUGAGUGGUUAGUGAAGGCUUGUCAGAGAUGGGACGAGGAGAAGCCUAGGGGGCACAGAAGAUGCAAAGGUGCUGAGGCCAGGGCAAAUUCAGAAUUUUUUUUUUUUUUGAGAUGGAGUCUCGCUCUGUCUCCCAGGCUGGAGUUCAGUGGUGCAAUCUCGGCUCACUGCAACCUCCACCUCCUGGGUCCAAGCAAUUAUCUGCCUCAGCCUCCAGAGUAGCUGGGAUUACAGGCAUCCACCACCACGCCCGGCUAAUUUUUGUGUUUUCAGUAGAGACAGGAUUUCACCAUCUUGGCCAGGCUGGUCUUGAACUCCUGGCCUCAUGAUCCACAUGCCUCAGCCUCCCAAAGUGCUGGGAUUACAGGCGUGAGCCACCGCGCCCAACCCAGAAUUCUCUUUUUUUGGGGGGGGGUGGGGGACAGAGUCUCACUCUGUCAUCCAGGCUGGAGUGCAGUAGCGCGAUCUUAGCUCACUGCAACCUCUGCCUCCCAGGUUCAAGCGAUUCUGCCUCAGCCUCCCGAGUAACUGGGAUUAUAGAUGCCCGCCACUACGCCUGGCUAAUUUUUUUUUUUUUUUUGUAUUUUUAGUAGAGAUGGGGUUUUACCAUGUUGGCCAGGCUGGUCUCAAACUCAUUACCUCCAGUGAUCCACCUGCCCUGGCCUGCCAAAGUGUUGGGAUUACACAGGCGUGAGCCACCAUGCCUGGCCCUGGCCCAGAAUUUUCAAGAAAUCUAAGGAAGGCUUUUUUGUGCUCUAAGUGUCCUUGUCUGUAAGGUAGGGGGGAUAAAGUGCCCUUGACUUCCCAAGGUUACUAUGCAGAUUGAACAAUAUAAUCCUCCCGGGUUGGCCUUGAGUCUUGUCAGACCUGAAGCUUAUGACAAUUUGAGAGCUCGCUUUGAGAAAAGAAACACAAAAAAUGAGGUGUGUGGCUUUAGAAGGAGCACAAAUGGGGUCCCCGAUGUUUAAGCUGCUUUAGUGUUACAGUAAAGCCACCUCUGAAUACCCAGAAGUGUUAGCUCUUACAACUUCCACCAACUCAGUCUUCUCCAAGCCUCUUGGUGGACUCAGAGGAGGACAGGGAGGCAGCCACUCUGGCCGGCCAGGGCCCUCCUCCCAGGUCCCUGGAACACAGGCGCACCAACCACAGCUGCGUCCUGGCCUGGGCAUCACGUGACGUCCCAGAGUGAUUCACGCUGCUAUUUCAGUGCUGCUGCAGUCAAGGGUAGGGAGAGGCAUGGCGAGGCUGUAUCUGGAGUCAGCUUGGAGGCCGUAGUUCCUGCAGCAGUGGCACUGAAGGUACAGCGAGGGUGACUGAGUCUCAGCAGAGCAAAUUCCCAACUUUAAAGUUUUCUCAAUAUCAGAAAAACUAGGAGAGCUGGAUCUCAGUAGUCUCUUUCUGUCACCCGGUCUGGAGUGAAGUGGCGCAGUCUCAGCUCUCUGCAACCUCUGCCUCCCAGGUUCAAGCAAUUCUUCUGCCUCAGCCUCCCAAGUAGCUGGGAUUACAGGUAUGUGCCACCAUGCCUGGCUAAUUUUUGUAUUUUUAGUAGAGAUGCGUUAUUUCCAUGUUGGCCAGGCUGGUCUCGAACUACUGACCUCAGGUGAUCCACUCGCCUCGGCCUCCCAAAGUGCUGAGAUUAUAGGCAUGAGCCACUGCGCCCGGCCGAGGCAAUGGUUUUCAGCUAGGGUGUCCCCAGCUGUCAUUUGGCAAUGUCUGGAGACAUUUGGGUUGUCAUAACUGAGUGUGUGUGUGUGUUUGUGUGCACAUGCUGUAGUGGCCAAGGAUGCUGCUAAACACCCUACAAGGCACAGAAUAGCCAUCACAAUUAUUUGGCUCCAAAUGUCAAUAGAGCUGAGGGAGAGAAAUAUUAAUAUAAACACAGCAGUUCCUGCACACCGAGGUUGAGGCUCAAGGGUGAAACCUGCCUGCUACAUGGCAAGCAGAUUGCAACUGACCACAGCACAUAAUAUGACACCCAAUGGCAAGAGAACGAUGUCAAGGGUCACUGAGAGAGAUGAAAGAUGGUGCAUAUUCAUUGACACCCCUCUCAUUGCAAAGUGGGAGGUCUGUGUCCCCUCCCCUUGAAUUCCAUGGAGUUGGGACUACUCUGACCAAUAGAAUACAACAGAAAUAACAUCUUGCAGUUUCCAAGCCUUAUAAAACUGGCAGCUUCCACUUCUUGUUUCUUGGGACACACUGCCUUGGAGCCUGUGCUGCCACUGAAGAAGUCUGAGUGCCCUGAGGCCACCAUGGUGUGGGGAAGCCCACGCUAGCCUUGUGGCAAGCCAACUGUUCCGCAACAUAGUGCGGGCUCCAGGUAACAUGAAGGAAGCUGUCUUGGGCCCUCUAGCCCAGCCCAGUCUCCAGCGAAUCCCACUGAGUGACCCUAGUCAAGCCCACAUGGAGCAGAAGAAUCACCUAGCUGAGCCCUGACCCACAAAAUCUUGAGAAGGAAUUAAAUUGCUAUUGUUCCCAGCCAGAAAAGCAAGGUAGCUUAAGGUAGUUUGUUCCACAGCAGUAGGUAACUAGAACAGUCAUGUCCAAGGAUUUGUUCCUGCACUUUCCCCUUCGCCACGUAUGGCAGAAAUUCUCAGGAAUUCUCAUGAGCCAGUGUCAUGCUAGUGCUUGUUGCAUCUGCUCCUCUCCAGCCGCCCCAGCCCACUGAUCCAAGCACUCUGUGAAAUGACUUUUGUGUGUCGACUUCUUCCCACGAGGAAGACGUUUCUUUCAUUGCCAUGUGCUGGACCCCAGUGCAGAGCCCGGGGCAUUGUCAGUGCUUAGUGUUUGUUGAAUGAGCCAAUGGAACUGGUCACCCUCCGCUGCCCUGGGGGUCCCUCAGCCUUUCCCAGAAGGUCCCUUGGACCUUCCCUCUGGGCUUCCUCACUCCCUUUUCUGCUUAUUCUUUUCUGAGCCGAAUUGUUGUAGCCCCUCAGAUCCAAAUGGCCCAACCCCACUGUCUCCUUCCCAGCACCUCUGUUGAGAAAUACCAAGUGGUAGAGAGUGUGCCUGUGUGGACGUGGGUGGGAUACGUGCCUCUUCUACACCGCCCGUAGGAAGGUACGCUUAGCAAUAGCUAUUGAAAACACAAAAGUGAUUCUGCUCUUAGGAAUGUCUCCCGCAGGGACCCUACCCUGGUGGCACAGGACGUCUCACACAGCACUGUCUGGGACAGCAAAAGGGAUGGAAACCACCUGAGUCCAACUAUGGAGGACACUGGAAAACACGAUGCUGCCUCCAUAGGAUGGGAUAUUGGCAAGUGUGAAGAAACAACAUUUGGUUCUGGAGGCUGCAAGCCCAGGUUCAAGGCAUCAGCAGGUGUGGUUUCCUCCGAGGCCUCUCCCCGUGGCUUGCAGAUGGCUGCCUUCUUCCUGCAUCCUCACGUGGUCCCUCCUCUGCACUCCAGCAUCCUUAAUGUCUCUUUGUGUGUCCAACUUUCCGCCCCCCCCCACCCCUUUUUUUUCUGAUGGAGUCCACCCAGACUGGAGUACAGUGGCGUGAUCUCAGCUCACUGCAACCUCCACUUCCUGGGCUCAAGUGAUUCCCCCGCUUCAGCCUCCCGAGUAGCUGGGAUUACAGGCAUGUGCCACCAUGCCUGGCUAAUUUUUGUAUUUUUAAUAGAGAUGGGAUUUCACCAUAUUGGCCAGGCUGGUCUCAAACUCCUGACCUCAAGUGAUCCACCCAUCUCGGCCUCCCAAAGUGUUGAGAUUACAGGUGUGAGCCACUGCGCCCAGCCCCGAACUUUCCUCUUAAAAGGAUAUCAGUCAGGCCAGGCGCAGUGGCUCAUACCUGUAAUCCCUGCACUUUGGGAGGUUGAGGCGGGUGGAUUACUUGAGGUCAGGAGUUGGAGACCAGCCUGGCCAACAUGGUGAAAUCCCGUGUCUACUAAAAAUACAAAAAUUAGCCGGGCGUGGUGGCAGGCGCCUGUAGUCCCAGCCACUCGGGAGGCUGAGGCAGGAGAAUUGCUUGAACCUGGGAGGCAGAGGUUGCAGUCAGCUGAGAUCAUGCUACUGCACUCCAGUCUGGGCAACAGAGCAAGACUCUAUCUCAAAAAAAAAAAAGACACCAGUCAGACUGGAGUAGGGCUCACCCUAAUGGCCUGAUUUUAACUUAAUUACCUCUUUUUUUUUCUUUCUUUUUUUGAGACAGAGUCUCGCUCUGUCACCCAGGCUUGAGUGCAGUGGCGCGAUCUCAGCUCACUGCAACCUCUGUCUCCCGGGUUCAAGUGAUUCUCCAGCCUUAGCCUCCCAAGUAGCUGGAAUUACAGGCGUGUACCACCACACCAAGCUAAUUUUUGUAUUUUUUAGUAGAGACAGGGUUUCUUCAUGUUGGUCAGGCUGGUCUCAAACUCCUGACCUCAGGUGAUACACCUGCCUCGGCCUCCCAAAGUGAUGGGAUUAUAGGUGUGAGCCACUGCACCCAGCCUUAAUUACCCCUUUAAAGGCCCUAUAUGCAAAUACAGUCACAUUCUGAGCUACUGGGGGUUAGGGCUUCAACAUAGGAAUUCAGGCAGACAUGAUUCAGCCCAUAACAAGGGCUUUCACUUUUUUUUUUUUUGUAGAAACAGGGUCUCACUAUGUUGCCCAGGCUACUCUUGAACUCCUGGGUUCAAGUGAUUCUCCAGCCUCAGCCCCCAGAUUAGCUGGGGCUACAGGUGCACCAGCACGCCCAGCUAAUAUUUUUACUUUCAUUUUUUUUAGACGGAGUUUAGCUAUCUUUGCCCAGGCUAGAGUGCAAUAGCGUGAUCUUGGCUCACCACAACCUCUGCCUUCCGGGUUCAAGAAUUCUCCUGCCUCAGCCUCCCAAGUAGCUGGGAUUACAGGCAUGCACCACCAUGACCGGCUAAUUUUGUAUUUUUAGUAGAGACGGGGUUUCUCCAUGUUGGUCAGGCUGCUCUCGAACUCCCGACCUCAGAUGGUCUGCCCGCCUCAGCUUCCCAAGGUGCUGGGAUUACAGGCGUGAGCCACCGCGCCCGGCCAAUAUUUUUUGUGGAGUCAGGGUCCUACUAUGUUUCCCAGGCUGGUCUUGAACUUCCAGGCUCAAGCGAUCCUCCUGCCUUGGCCUCCUAAAGUACUGUGAUUCCAGGCCUGAGCCACAGCACCCUGCUGGCUUUCACUUUUUACUUUAUUUCUAUGUUGUUAAAAUCUAUUACAAUAAACAUUACUUUUAAAGGAUUUUGUGCACUUCAAUCCAAAUGUCCCUGAAGCAUCUACCUCCCUCCUGGGCCUUCUCUGAAGUCAGAGUAGGGGCAGCUGAAGCCCUCCCUCUGCUGGCUCCAGGAACGAAACCCCCUGGCCCACUAAGGCCCUUCCCCUGGGGAGGGUGGCGUGGGAUAAGAACACUCAGUAUCUGUCUGGCCCUCUCAAGAUCACUGAGGACUUUCCCAGACAGCCGACAUGGUCUUCAGAUCAGUCUGCCAAACGUCACAUAGAGGCUGGGCACGGUGGCUCACGUCUGUAAUCCCAGCACUUUGGGAGGGCAACGUGGGUGGAUCACCUGAAGUCAGGAGUUCGAGACCAGGCUGGCCGACAUUGCAAAACCUCGUCUCUACAAAAAUAUAAAAGUUAGCUGGGCGUGGUGGCACGCGCCUGUAGUCCCAGCUACUCGGGAGGCUGAGGCAGGAGAAUCACUUGAACCUGGGAGGCGGAGGUUGCAGUGGACCAGGAUCGUACCACUGCACUCCAGCCUGGCCAACAGAGUAAGACUCCAUCUCAAAAAAAAAAAAAAAAUCAGGUGGAGGGGCAUCCUCUGUUUUCCAGGCUCCUGGUUUAUAGCUGCAAGCUCUGGACAUUUAAUACCUUGUAAUCCAUCCUUCCCUUAUAUACCUCUCAACAUAAUGACUGUACAAUAUGGCCAAUGAAACGGAUAGUAAAAUGAAACAUAGGCAAGUAAUAAAGUGAGAUAUGAAGACAGUAGUACAACCUGGAUGAGGGUGGAAUGCAAAAUUGUCAUCAGAGAAGACGACAGGAGGACCUGAGAGCUGGAGGGACGGACGCUUAUCUACCCAAAUGAGGCUAUAAAAAGUAGAAAGAUGGCAGGGUAAAAAUGGGGGAGGGCUGCCACUUAAGACUCUCAGGAAACAGUGAUGCAUCAGACUUUAUCAUUAAGUCCCAGGGGAGAGGAGUGGAUCUGGGGAUCCCUUUAGAUAUGGUAGAAUUCUCCUGGGUCCUGCUCUGGUCUUAAAUCUCAGACCAGUAGCAGGAAAACCCUAACUGUACUGUGGUCCUGAAUGUCACUGCAACUUCAGCCCUGCUGUGGUGGUGUAUCUGCUCCUCUGGCUGGCUCUGCCACCUUGAAAGGUGAGACCAUGUGGAGCAGAGCCAAGGGGCCUCAGCUGACAGCCAGCACCAACCAUCAGUCAUGUGAGUGAGACCACCUUGGACCCCCAACCCCAGUUGGGUUGUCAGAUGACUAUAGCUGCAGGUACAAGAGUGACCCAGUGACACCAGCAGAUGAACCGGCUAGCUUAGCUCAGCCCAAACUGCUGACUUAGAACUGUUGUUAUGUUAAGCCAGUACAUUUUCAGUGACUCAUUACAAAGCAGUAGAUAACUGUGACAGUCUAAGAGGAUCUAAGUUUGGAAACAGGAUUGAAUAUUUAAGAUAACUGAUUUGCCAGAUUUAUAAGUUUAUUAGUAUAUAAGAGUUGCUUGGCUGGGCACAGUGGCUCAUGCCUGUAACCCUAACACCUUGGAAGGCUGAAGCAGGAAGAUUGCUUGAGCCCAGGAGUUUGAGACCAGCCUUGGCAACACAGUGAGACCCAAUCUCUUAAAAAAAAAAAAAAAAAAAAAAACUCCGUCUCCCUCUCGCUCUCCGUCUCCCUCUCGCUCUCCCUCUCCCCACGGUCUCCCUCUCAUGCGGAGCCGAAGCUGGACUGUACUGCUGCCAUCUCGGCUCACUGCAUCCUCCCUGCCUGAUUCUCCUGCCUCAGUCUGCCGAGUGCCUGCGAUUGCAGGCACGCGCCGCCACGCCUGACUGGUUUUGGUGGAGACAGGGUUUCGCUGUGUUGGCCGGGCCGGUCUCCAGCCCCUAACCGCGAGUGAUCCGCCAACCUCGGCCUCCCGAG